AGCAAAAAAUAUCCGUGCUGAGAUUUCGUCGCACACCUGACCACAAAGGCUGAUGAGGCUUCCAAGAUAAUUGNN
rnacentral:pre_miRNA from 1 species